rnacentral:tRNA from 1 species
AUCGCGAUGACCGAGCGGUUAAGGUGUUGGACUUAAGUUCAAUUCCAUUAUGGGUCGUGAAUUAGAAUCCCAUUUGCGGUA